CCUGCAAGGGCAGUACGUUUUUCAGAUUCAUUCCUGAAUGCCUAGCAAGGGGUCCAAAUGGAGUUGGAAUUCAGUCAAUGCUCCUUUCCUUCCUCCCUUCUUCCCUCCCUCUAUUUUUUUUGCCAUGUGAGGCCGUCUUCUUCCGCAAAGGGCUGUGCCCAUGGGUAGAUAGGUCCUCAGGGCCUAGCCCCCCAGCUCUCUUACCCUGAGCCAGCUGGAUUCUGGGGCAGUAGAGAGAGUGUUCUGGAACCUGAAGGAAAAGCAAUCACCCAGGGCUGGCAGGUGAAAGGCAGCUGGUGGUGUCCGGCUGGCAGGGGGCACCAUAUGGGCCCAGUGAGCAGGCGGGCCUGGGAACGCGGAGCCUGCCGUGAAGGCUGUUUCCAGGACCAUCAUGUCGUCCCGGAGGUGACUUGCUGGGAGCUGUCAGCCAUGCAUCUCCCGCAGAGGGGCAGCCUGCUCGUGCCCCUUCUGCCAAUCCAGGAACAGAAGCAGAAACAGAAGGUCAGAGCGGCAAGGGGCCUCCUUCGAGGUCACCAUGUCCAAAGCCUCAUUCACAGAUGGGUCGCUGCUUGAGAGCAGGGACACUUGAGUAUGUCUGAUGGACCUGGCUGUUUCCUGUGCCCCGUGCGGGGCUUUUGCACAGAGGGUGCGUAAGGGUCUCCAGCUACACCACACCGAGAUGCUAGUGGCUGUGGCUCCCUUGUCAGUGAAGGACUGAUGAACCAGCUCUGCGCAAGAAUUUUUUUAAAUCCUUGAUUUUUUUUUUUUUGCCAAUUUCUAUGCUGUAUAAACACCCAUCUAGGCCAAUUUCAAGUUACCAAAAUUUAACAACCAGCUUACAAAAUUCCUGAAUA